CAAGAACACCCUGCCUAUCCCAACCAGGCCACGUGCCAGGCACCAUUCCUGAGGCUGUGGACUCAACAAGACCAGGCUGAACACAGGGAAUUUUCACUGUCCUGCCUCUUGCUCUGGUUCUCAGUGUUUGUUCAAGCUGCAGGGAGGAGAGGACUGAAAAGAGUGGCUGGGGAAGAGGAGAAGAGGUGCUUGACUCCAAUUCAAUCCAGAGCCCUUGGAGUUACUGCAGAUGCUCAGUCCUCCUGGAGGACUUGGAAAAUUGGAUGAAAUUGCACGUGCAGUGAAGACGGUGUGGGAUGAAGUUGCAAUGAUGGGGGCAAAAGCAGAAGAAGGACCUCCUGUCUCUCAGCUUCUCCCACCUCAGCCAUCUGCUUGCAUUAAUGCGCUAUUCCCAUGCGGAUUGUCAUUUAAACCAGCCUGCUCCCACAAACAUCCGUGCUUUGGGUCAUCUGAAUAUCAAAAAAGUUUCCUUUACCCAUGGGUUAGAAGGAUCACAGGCAGCAAGGGGACAGGGCCAUUGCUUGCCAUCCACGGGCACCAAUGGAAGGACAAGAUUCCCCGGCUUGAUGAGAAAAAUCUUCCCCCAUCAGCAUCUGAGCAGUUCCUGCUGGUAGAUCAGGACAACGCUCGAAGUCAGAAAUAA
rnacentral:lncRNA from 1 species